rnacentral:rRNA from 1 species
GACGAACGCUGGCGGCGUGCCUAAUACAUGCAAGUCGAACGCAGUGGGGACGGGUGAGUAACACGUGGGUAACCUCCCAUCAGAGGGGAUAACACUUGGAAACAGGUGCUAAACCGAUACUGAUGGAUGGUCCGGCGGUGCAUUAGCUAGUUGGGGAGGUAACGGCUCACCAAGGCCACGAUGCAUAGCCGGGCUGGGAGGGUGAGCUGGCAAAACUGGAAUGAGACACGGCCCAGACUCCUACGGGAGGCAGCAGUAGGGAAUCUUCGGCAAUGGACGGAAGUCGGACCAAGCAACGCCGCGGGAGUGAAGAAGGUUUUCGGAUCGUAAAGCUCUGUUGUUAGAGAAGCGGUAACUAACCAGAAAGGGACGGCUAACUACGUGCCAGCAGCCGCGGUAAUUC